GCGAAGGUAGGGAAAUCCCUUGUUUUUUAAAUGAAAACCUGUUUGAAGGGCACGACAAGGGCUUACCUGUCUCCUUUUUCCAGUCAAUGAAAUUGAUCUUCCCGGGCAAAAGCGGGAAUAAUACCUUAAAACAAGAAAACCCGGGGGAGUUUCAAACACUAAAUCACCCCUUGCCCAAAAUCCCAAUUAAGGGAUUGAACACUAGAGGGAGACCUGAUUUAAGGUCUUCGGUGGGGGCGACCUGGGGAAAAAAAAAACCCCCCACGCGAACCAAAAUUCCCAUAUUUCAAAAACUAAAAGCCCCCCCUCAAAGUAUCAAAAAUUUUGACCAACUAUGUGAUCCGGUUUAACGCCAAUCAACGGACCGAGUUACCCCA
rnacentral:rRNA from 1 species